rnacentral:rRNA from 1 species
GACGAACGCUGGCGGCGUGCCUAAUACAUGCAAGUUGAGCGAUGAAGAUUGGUGCUUGCACCAAUUUGAAGAGCAGCGAACGGGUGAGUAACGCGUGGGGAAUCUGCCUUUGAGCGGGGGACAACAUUUGGAAACGAAUGCUAAUACCGCAUAACAACUUUAAACAUAAGUUUUAAGUUUGAAAGAUGCAAUUGCAUCACUCAAAGAUGAUCCCGCGUUGUAUUAGCUAGUUGGUGAGGUAAAGGCUCACCAAGGCGAUGAUACAUAGCCGACCUGAGAGGGUGAUCGGCCACAGUGGGACUGAGACACGGCCCAAACUCCUACGGGAGGCAGCAGUAGGGAAUCUUCGGCAAUGGACGAAAGUCUGACCGAGCAACGCCGCGUGAGUGAAGAAGGUUUUCGGAUCGUAAAACUCGGUUGGUAGAGAAGAACGUUGGUGAGAGUGGAAAGCUCAUCAAGUGACGGUAACUACCCAGAAAGGGACGGCUAACUACGUG